rnacentral:sRNA from 1 species
GCUGGGCACAGUGGAGCAUGCCUGUCAUCCCCGCAGCUCAGGAGGCUGAGGCAGGAGGAUCGUGAGUUCAAAGCCAGCCUCAGCAAAAGCAAGGCGAUAAGCAACUCAGUGAGACCCUGUCUCUA